AGUUGCAGGAUUUGUGGACUUGCUUCUUCAAAGCCAGCCACAGAGAAAGAACAGGGAAGAUUGAGAAAGAAAGUCUCAAGACAUGUUUACUUCCCUUUCUGCCAUGAUUGAAAGUUUCAUGAAGCCUUCCCAGCCCUGUGGAACUAUGAAUCUCCAGCACGUAGAAGGGGGCCUGGCACAAAGCGCUGUUUUACAAAGAUUUACUAACUGCCUGAAUUGCCUCUCCCACCGGGAUCUUUCAUGACAUCGUCCCACCUCACCAACCACAGGGAUGAGAGCUCUGAAAGGGUUUCACUUGGAAUCACACUUCAGUCAAAAUCUUUUCAUCGAGUAUAUGGCCUAGAAACUUCCUUCUCAUCUUAGGUAUUUUUCCAUCAUACUUCCUCCACGAAGACACCACUGGAUCUGGAUAUGACACCUCCAGCCUAAAGAUGAAGACAACCCUGGGGAUGGCAGAGAGAUUGAGAAGAAGCCUGGAUCCUUGAUGAAAAUGCUGACCAAUAAAUCAACCAA